rnacentral:rRNA from 1 species
CUCAAAGGAAUUGACGGGGACCCGCACAAGCGGUGGAUGAUGUGGUUUAAUUCGAUGCAACGCGAAAAACCUUACCCACCUUUGACAUGUACGGAAGAUCGCAGAGACGCGAUUGUGCUCGAAAGAGAGCCGUAACACAGGUGCUGCAUGGCUGUCGUCAGCUCGUGUCGUGAGAUGUUGGGUUAAGUCCCGCAACGAGCGCAACCCUUGCCAUUAGUUGCUACGAAAGGGCACUCUAAUGGGACUGCCGGUGACAAACCGGAGGAAGGUGGGGAUGACGUCAAGUCCUCAUGGCCCUUAUAGGUGGGGCUACACACGUCAUACAAUGGCUGGUACAAAGGGUAGCCAACCCGCGAGGGGGAGCCAAUCCCAUAAAGCCAGUCGUAGUCCGGAUCGCAGUCUGCAACUCGACUGCGUGAAGUCGGAAUCGCUAGUAAUCGUGGAUCAGAAUGUCACGGUGAAUACGUUCCCGGGUCUUGUACACACCGCCCGUCACACCA